GCUGGAAACUGUCUAAACUUUGAGGAGGUAUGAGCUUUAUUGAUGAAAGUUUGAAAUUCUGGGCGAGAGGACACAAGGUGUGAGGUAGUGAUGAGGCUGCGAGUGACGUCCCCUUGGCGUUGCUAGGCACGCCUCCCAGCUGCCGGCAUGGAAAGGUCCAGAUUUUGACGGUCAACCUAUGUCAAGAUUUUUAUGGCUUCUUUCUCACAGGCUGGGCCAGAUGCCAAUGUGACACCCUUUGAUGUUACUGUGCAGAGUAAUAACCUGCUGUGAGACAACAGCAAUGGUGCAGGGAGGUUUUUGCAUGAUAAACAUCUUGUCUUUCCAAAACAGUUGACCUGAUGGAGAUAUCUCGAACGGUAUAUGCACUGCAAGGCUUCAAAGUUUACCCCUCAGAGUUUUUUCACCCUGGAAAAAAGACACAUGUUCAAGAUGGGGGUACCCCAACUUGAAUUCAUUCAACUCCAAAGUUUCUGCAUGUAUCAAGCCCUAAUUUUGCCUGUGAGGUUCAAAAGUGUCAGGAAUUGUGUGGUGCAAAAAUUAUUGAUUUUGAAAAAAGGUGGCUGGUGUGAUAGGACACAGACCCCCAUUACAACUUCCGUUUUUCGG